rfam:Drosophila melanogaster chromosome 3R.
GGAAGUGUAUUCUGUGAUUGUUCUGUACAUUGAUCGAUAUUCAGGUAACUGCAUCUGCUUAUCAGAUCUGUUCAGAGCCGACCCUCCGUCACACCUUUGUGUUUCCCAGUAAUUCUGCCUGGCGUUGCCGUGGCUCCUCGUUCGGAUCGGCUUUCCGCUGCCUUCCACUGGAUGACGACGGGUUAUCCGGCGGUCGACGCACGGUCAUGCACCCCCGAUCCGUCGCCCCCACCACCCCGCGGAUUCUGGUCUCGACCGGAAGCCGUAUUGGGCGGGGACGGGCGGCGGUCCGGUGCUGAAGCCGGCGACAGUUGCCCGAGUCAGCCACUUUCAAAAUUUGUUGGUUAAGUAACUUAGUAGCUUAGCUUCGGAUUUUCGUAACAAAUUUGCUGUUCAGAACACUUCCAUGUACGCGGCAUUGCCGAGCAAUUUGCCCAUUCUUUUG